rnacentral:rRNA from 1 species
AGAGUUUGAUCCUGGCUCAGGAUGAACGCUAGCGACAGGCCUAACACAUGCAAGUCGAGGGGCAUCGGGGCGAGGAGCAAUCCUUGCCGCCGGCGACCGGCGCACGGGUGAGUAACGCGUAUGCGACCUGCCCGUUGCAGGGGGAUAAUCGGGAGAAAUCCCGUCUAAUACCGCGUAAUGCCGCGGGGCUGCAUGGCCCUGCGGCCAAAGGGAGCGAUUCCGGCAACGGAUGGGCAUGCGUGACAUUAGCUAGUUGGCGGGGCAACGGCCCACCAAGGCGACGAUGUCUAGGGGUUCUGAGAGGAAGGUCCCCCACAAUGGUACUGAGACACGGACCAGACUCCUACGGGAGGCAGCAGUGAGGAAUAUUGGUCAAUGGGCGCGAGCCUGAACCAGCCAAGUCGCGUGAGGGAUGACGGCCCUACGGGUUGUAAACCUCUUUUGUCGGGGAGCAAAUUCCGCCACGUGUGGCGGAGUCGAGAGUACCCGAAGAAAAAGCAUCGGCUAACUCCGUGCCAGCAGCCGCGGUAAUACGGAGGAUGCGAGCGUUAUCCGGAUUUAUUGGGUUUAAAGGGUGCGUAGGCGGACUGUCAAGUCAGCGGUAAAAUACGGGGGCUCAACCUCCGCCCGCCGUUGAAACUGACGGUCUUGAGUGGGCGAGAAGUAUGCGGAAUGCGUGGUGUAGCGGUGAAAUGCAUAGAUAUCACGCAGAACUCCGAUUGCGAAGGCAGCAUACCGGCGCCCAACUGACGCUGAAGCACGAAAGCGUGGGUAUCGAACAGGAUUAGAUACCCUGGUAGUCCACGCAGUAAACGAUGAAUACUAGCUGUCCGGGGCGAAUGAGCCCUGGGUGGCACAGCGAAAGCGUUAAGUAUUCCACCUGGGGAGUACGCCGGCAACGGUGAAACUCAAAGGAAUUGACGGGGGCCCGCACAAGCGGAGGAACAUGUGGUUUAAUUCGAUGAUACGCGAGGAACCUUACCCGGGCUCAAACGACACAGGAACGUACCUGAAAGGGUUCGGCUCUACGGAGCCUGUGUCGAGGUGCUGCAUGGUUGUCGUCAGCUCGUGCCGUGAGGUGUCGGCUUAAGUGCCAUAACGAGCGCAACCCCCAUCGACAGUUGCUAACAGGUCAGGCUGAGGACUCUGUCGAGACUGCCGGCGCAAGCUGCGAGGAAGGCGGGGAUGACGUCAAAUCAGCACGGCCCUUACGUCCGGGGCGACACACGUGUUACAAUGGCAGGUACAGCGGGAAGCCACCUGGCGACAGGGAGCGGAACCCGAAAGCCUGUCUCAGUUCGGAUUGGAGUCUGCAACCCGACUCCAUGAAGCUGGAUUCGCUAGUAAUCGCGCAUCAGCCACGGCGCGGUGAAUACGUUCCCGGGCCUUGCACACACCGCCCGUCA